CCCUUAGAUGUCCGGGGCCGCACGCGCGCUACACUGAAGGAAUCAGCGUGGCUUUCUCCCUGACCCGAAAGGGUUGGGAAACCCGUUGAAUCUCCUUCGUGAUAGGGAUUGGGGCUUGAAAUUGUUCCCCAUGAACGAGGAAUUCCCAGUAAGCGCGAGUCAUAAGCUCGCGUUGAUUACGUCCCUGCCCUUUGUACACACCGCCCGUCGCUACUAUCGAUUGAGCGGUUCAGUGAGGGCCUCGGAUUGGUCUCGGUCUGGCGUGCAAGCGCCGGCACCGUUGGCCGAGAAGACGCUCGAACUCGAUCGCUUGGAGAAAGUAAAAGUCGUAACA
rnacentral:rRNA from 1 species